GGGCCUGUGGCGCAAUGGAUAACGCGUCUGCCUACGGAGCACUGUAUGACAGCAGAAGAUUCCAGGUUCGAUCCCUGGUAGGCUCG
rnacentral:tRNA from 1 species